AAUUAACAUUGCUGAUUUCAUAUGAUGAUAAUAAAGCAGUGAAUGAUGAUUCUUCCUUCAUUCUCCUCUCAAUCCUUCUUCUACAUCUUCUUCUCUUACUCUUUCUGCAAUAACAACAGCGUCACCAAUCCCUUCAAGCCGGCCAAAGCCCCAUUAGCCAAAAGUUAAUUUUUCUUCUUCUUCAACACUCUCUUUUAGAUAAUCACAUAUUCAGUUUCAUUGCCCAGCAUAAAAAAUUAAGAAAAUUAAAAAGAAAAAAUGAUCGUUUCGUGAAUUUCGACCCGUUGGUCACCGACAAGUUUCGAUCUUCUUCGUGCCAAAGUUGCAAUCUUUUGGACUUUUGGCGAGGUGGGUCGAUCCGGUUUCGUUCAAUACUAGUGGGUUUGAUCUGGAAAAGGAAAAGAGGAAGAAUUGGGUUAUCUCCGAUUCAAGAUUGUGUCCUUUUUUGAAAUGGUCUAUUUCCAUAGCUCGAUCUCUAUCUGCAAGUCCUUUGAUCAAUCAUCUUCCAUGGCGAAUUCAAUUUGUUCUGCGGAUUUCGGUUCGAAAUCAAGGCAAAUCAAUCAACUUCAGAAGAAUCGGAGAACCCCUAAUUCUUCAUCGUCAGCAUCAUCGAAUUCCCUUCAGAUUCCUCCUUGUGAUCGAUCUCGAUCGGCCAUGGUUGAUGUUGUGAUGUUCAUUGCUGUUGUUUGUGCCUGUGGCUUUUUGUUCUUUCCUUACUUGGAAUUUUUGGUGACAAAGUGCUAUGAUGGGGUUAAGGUUGUUGUGUUUUUGGUUAAGGAAGAGGUUUCGAUUGCACCUUGGAUCUAUGUUUCUAUAGGUUUGAGUGUUGUGUGCGCUGCAUUGGCCACGUGGGGUGUGGUGGCUUGCACCACUAGGAGGUGUGGAAAUCCCAAUUGCAAGGGUCUGAGGAAGGCUGCUGAGUUUGACAUUCAGUUGGAGACUGAAGAUUGUGUGAAGAAUUCCGCUUCUUCCUCCUUGAAUUCUGCAAAAGAGAGUGGUGGCAGUGGUGGAGUGAAGAAAGGUCUCUUUGAAUUGCCCCGUGAUCACCAUAAGGAGCUGGAGGCUGAACUCAAGAAGAUGGCACCGCCUAAUGGAAGGGCUGUGCUUGUGUUACGAGCAAGGUGUGGAUGUUCUGUUGGAAGGUUAGAGGUGCCGGGACCUAGAAAGCAUCAUCGGAAGAUCAAGAAGUAGCAGCAGCUGCAGCAAUCCUGUUCUAGUAGGAACAGGAUAGGAGAGGACACCCUUUUGAUUUAUUGGAAGGAAGGAAGGAAAGGGAUAAUCGGAUCAACUAGAGAAUGUCAGAAGAUGUCUGGAAUGUUAACGGUGGGAUAGACUGUUCAACCUCAAGGACAUGGCAUCUUUUUAUUCAGACGUGCUAGACUAUCAGUAUCAUGACUUUGAUACUUUUUUAUUUGCUAAAACUUCAAAUCAAGGUUAUUGCACAAGUCAUUUUUUUCUAUUGUUGAUCAGUAUCUGGGGGCAGUACAUGCAAUUCUCUUAUGGAACAGUGACCAGAUUUGAACAGCGAACUUGGUAAGAUGUUCAUCUGUAGUGCAUUGAGCCAACUUUUGAUUUCUAUUUCUAUAUUUUUUCUUUGGUGUAUAUGAACUCAUCUUCAAUUAUAAUUUUGAACAUGACAGAUUUUAAAUUAUUUGAACACUCAGUCUGUCUCACUAGUUGAAAUUAGCAAAUCCUAGCAGCCAUCUUGUCUCAAUUGCAGUUUUCUAGACUCUGUCCUGUUUGAAUAGUCUUAUCUUCUGUAAUUAAGUUAUAUUCUUUUAGUUUUCCAAUUGUAUAUGUUAGAAUAUUUACCCUAUUUAUCGUGAUUAUAUUGUGUCUAAGG